GCGAACGGGUGAGUAACACGUAGGUGACCUGCCUCGAAGAUGGGGAUAACUGUUGGAAACGGCAGCUAAUACCCAAUGCACUCGAUAAUUCGGUUUAUCGAGUAAAGCGCCCCUCACGGGGAUAGCGCUUCGAGAUGGGCCUGCGGCCUAUCAGCUAGUUGGUAGGGUAAUGGCCUACCAAGGCGAGGACGGGUAGGGGGCGUGAGAGCGUGACCCCCCACACUGGCACUGAGACACGGGCCAGACUCCUACGGGAGGCAGCAGUCGGGGAUAUUGCGCAAUGGACGAAAGUCUGACGCAGCGACGCCGCGUGAGUGAUGAAGGCCUUCGGGUUGUAAAACUCUUUUAUGGGGGAAGAGGAAGGACGGUACCCCAUGAAUAAGCGUCGGCUAACUACGUGCCAGCAGCCGCGGUAAAACGUAGGGCGCAAGCGUUAUCCGGAUUUACUGGGCGUAAAGAGCGUUGAGGCGGUUCUGUAAGUUGGGCGUGAAAGCCCUCGGCUUAACUGAGGGACGCCGUCCAAUACUGCAGGACUUGAGGGCAGCAGAGGGAGGUGGAAUUCCCGGUGUAGCGGUGAAAUGCGUAGAGAUCGGGAGGAACACCAGUGGCGAAGGCGGCCUCCUGGGCUGCUUCUGACGCUGAAUGCGAAAGCUAGGGUAGCGAACGGGAUUAGAAACCCCGGUAGUCCUAGCUGUAAACGAUGGAUGCUAGGUGUAGGAGGUAUAGAUCCCUUCUGUGCCGAAGCUAACGCGAUAAGCAUCCCGCCUGGGGACUACGGCCGCAAGGCUAAAACUCAAACGAAUUGACGGGGGCCCGCACAAGCAGCGGAGCGUGUGGUUUAAUUCGAUGCUACACGAAGAACCUUACCUGGGUUUGACAUGUAGGUAGUAGUGAAGCGAAAGCGGAACGACCCUUCGGGGAGCCUACACAGGUGCUGCAUGGCUGUCGUCAGCUCGUGCCGUGAGGUGUCGGGUUAAGUCCCGUAAAGAGCGCAUCGCCUGUCCUUAGUUACAAGCUGUCUAUGGAGACUGCCGGUGACAAGCCGGAGGAAGUUGGGGAUGGCGUCACGUCAGCAUGUCCUUUAUGUCCAG
rnacentral:rRNA from 1 species